UUGUUGCUGACAUAGGCAGCUAUAGGCCCAGGCAAGCCAGGGCUUUGCCCUGGUAGUUUUCAACCAAAACCACACCCAAAAGCCACAACUGUUUAUACUUGCUAUCAGCUCCA